CCCGCCGUCGCCACCGUCGGCGUGCCGCGAGCAGCUGACCCCCGCCGCUCCCGCCGCCGCUCCUGCCGCGUCGCAGUCACUCCCGCUCGCCCCGACUCGACGGUCGCCGUCCAUGGCGGACUUGUGAACCGAGCCAUCCGCGGCCCGAAAUCCGCUCCCUCGAAAGGACUCUCGGAGGCGCCGAAGGAGGAUCUUGUGGCCGGGCCCGCCAGCCGGGCUCCCGCGCCUCCUUCCCUUCCUCCUCCUGGAACCCGCAUGUCCCCGGAGGCCCUCCGGUGAGGCCCGAGGAGGAGAGUCCUGAAAUCAAAGGGGAAGAGAGGGACUGAUCUCGUGGUGUCUCCCGCUCGAGCUCAUAGGCAGCUCUCGGAGUUUACAGUGCUACAGUGGUGGGGAGGAUAGAAGAAAGGGAAAAAGGAAGAAGAAGAAGAAGAAGGAGGAGGAGGAGAAAAGGAAGACAGUAAAAGGAGACCAAAAAAAAGAAAAGAGGGACGAAGAAGAAGCAGAGAGAAGGAGAAAAGGACCAGGAAAGCGAGCGGGCAACGGCGUCCCAGUUUCUCUAGCGCGUGCGAGGCUCCGGCGAAGGGAGAGACAUCCACGCUGCCGAGACAGAACAGGUGAGAGGUACCACAACUGCGGCGGAAGAAGUCCUGUCUCGGUAUCUUGAAAGGGUUCGACUAAUCGUCUGUUCGAGACAGGAAUCGGAUCAUGCCUCGUUAACAGGGUUAGAUCAACGGAAACACAGUGUGAAAAAAAAGAGAAAUCACAUUUUCCCGCAACAAAGAUAAAAGCAAGAAAGAGGGGAACACCGCGUGAAUAUUCGCACACGAAAUAACACGAAGGGAAUCCAAGCCCUCUUCCCUUGCAACAGCAGCAGCAACCGUGCAACAUGAUGGCACUCUCCGUCAGAACACCCGAGAGCAGCGGUGCCCGGCGAUCGGUGGGCGGAGCUAAGCUGAAUCAAGCCACUCCCACCUCCGCCACGACGACGCGCACACGCCCAUCGUCUCAGCCCAAGCCCCGCCCACACCUGAGGGGGGAACGCCCAUCCAUGACCCUCAUGUUGACCUAUGGGGCUAUGUUGACCCUCAUGGCACUCUCUGCAGCACUUGGAGUGGAUGCCACGGAUGGUGAGUAAACAUAAUCCGUUUUUAUUUGUGCGUUUUCCUUUUUCUCAUCUUGUGUCUGUUUUCACUCGUGUUUUCAUCAUGCAUUUUUAUGUCUGGGACUGCAAGGAAGAGAGAGAAAAAAAAGGGUUGAAAAUUACUGAAAAUUAGAUAAAACCGACUUUAAUACAGGUGCAUAUGACUUACUUUGCAAGCGUAAUAAUAUUACCGACAAUUUUUUUUUUUUAGUAUACUUUGGAUGAUUCAAUACAAAGCGAGGAAAAAUGCAAUUGAUGUGUAUAUGUUCAGAUCAAAUGAGAGAGAGAGAGAGAA